rnacentral:misc_RNA from 1 species
UCCGACUUGACGACGGCAGCCUCUCUAGAGUGCCCAACUGAAUGAUGGCAACUAAAGACAAGGGUUGCGCUCGUUGCGGGACUUAACCCAACAUGUCACCACACGAGCUGACGACAGCCAUGCAGCACCUGUCUCUCUGUAGUAUUGCUACUAAGGCCGUAUCUCUACGGUUGUCAGAGGAUGUCAAAUCCAGGUAAGGUUCUUCGCGUUGCUUCGAAUUAAACCACAUGAUCCACCGCUUGUGCGGGCCCCCGUCAAUUCCUUUGAGUUUUAGUCUUGCGACCGUACUUCCCAGGCGGAGUACUUAUUGCGUUAGCGCCGGCUCAGCAGGGGUCAAGACCCGCCAAGCCUAGUACUCAUCGUUUACCGCGUGGACUA